AUUCUGUACUCAUAGACAAAAAGCAAAGACUGACUCCAGCCGCCCCAAGACUCCUGCAAGGGGAAACCCGAUGACCAGGAUAUCUUGAUUGCAAGGGGGGUCAGCCGAACCUCAGUGAAUAUCUGUUGUGAAUCUGUAUGUACAUAGCAUU